rnacentral:rRNA from 1 species
GUCCACGCCGUAAACGAUGUUCACUAGAUAUUAGAGGAUUUGACCCCUUUAGUGUCGCAGCUAACGCACUAAGUGAACCGCCUGGGGAGUACGGUCGCAAGACUAAAACUCAAAGGAAUUGACGGGGGCCCCGCACAAGCGGUGGAGUAUGUGGUUUAAUUCGACGCAACGCGAAGAACCUUACCUGGAUUAGAAAUCAACUAGACGAACUGCAGAGAUGUGGUUCUCUCCCGCAAGGGAGCUGGUUGACAGGUGCUGCAUGGCUGUCGU